UGAAUUAAAAGAAUGGUAACAUUCGGAGUGGGCCGCGUCUUCUUCCUCGGAAUAUGCUACGGGCUGCAGUUGAUUUUGGCAGAGUGGUUACUGUUGGGGAGAAGCAGGAGUAUGGCAAGAUGGAGAGCAAUUUGGGGAUUUUGCGGGUCCAAGAGGGUUGGGGAUAGGCAGGUGGUCUGGAUGAGCCAUGGGAUUAGGUCAUCAAGCUACCCCAGGAGAUGGCGCAGAGCCAGCAAGGAGUGGUCGCUACCAUCGAAAUCCCCAAAAGGAGAUUUUAGUAUGGAUCUACCAAGGCCCCAUGGAUGGUAGCUAAUCUUCACUUAACGAAGCAAAGUUUUCAAUUUUCAGGAAUCAUACAACCCGAUGUUCAGCUUCUAAAAGUUCUAGAGAUGCGCAAAAAAAUGUUGCAGAAAGAGCAAGGUAUGGCUUUUACUCGUGCUGUAGCAGUAGGUUUUGAUGUUGAUCAUUUGCCACCAUUAAUAUCAUUUGCUGAAUGCUUUGGGGCUUCAUGCUUGAUGGAUGCUUGUAGAAGAUAUAAGGAACUGUGGAAACGAAAGCAUGAGACUGGCCAAUGGCUUGAAAUUGAAAAGGCUAAAGCAUGUCUAACCGAGCAGACUUCUCCGCCAUGAAUGCAUCGGGCAUGGUGCUUUUAAAUAUGACCACUAAGCCAAAUGAGUUGGCAGAGAAUAAUGGAAAAGCUACUUGUGCAGGUUCUACAAGGUCGUAGAAAAUAAGACUGGUCUAGUUUCAAGUUCGCUCUAGCAGGUCACACCUUUGUUUUUCAACUGAUCUUUCUUAUGACUGCAAUCAUGUUAUUAAGAUGCAUUUGCUUGCAUGAGAGUAUAACUUCCUACUCGUAAAGUGAAAGUGAAGGAGAUAGUCUGUUGUUUUGGAUUACUGCACAUGAACCAUUGUCCUUUUUUAUUACAAGGUGAAAAAGAGACUCAAGAUACUUUAGACUAUAGAGUGAAGUUCAAACACUAUGAGCAGCUUUGCUAUGGAAUGAUUUUUAAUCACGACCUGCCUGGAUGCGUUGAUUGCUCGUUUCAGCAUAUGCAGUGAAAAAUUCUAUGUGAACUCUGAAGGCAAGUGAUUGGCAUCUUGAAGGAGCUAGGAGCAUUUAAUAUAUUCUACAACCAAGCCACGGGAGGAGAAGAAAAAACAAAUAUCCAAGCUCUAGUGUACGUUGCAAAUUAUUUUGCUAGUCAGCUUCAAUAGGUAGGUCUCAUGGAACAAUUAAUGAGUAUUGUAGAUGUAUUUUGAUGGCUGUAAUGACAUUGGAGUUUCCAAAAUGAAUGAGAACAUCAAUGGAUGACAAGAGCAAA